rnacentral:rRNA from 1 species
CUUGAAUUUGGAAGAAGGCGAGAAAAGCUGUGUGAAUAGAAGAUAGAGCCCGUACCGCAAACCGACACAGGUAGAUAGGAAGAAGAUUCUAAGGCCAACGGGAGAAGGGUUGUUAAGGAACUCGGCAAGUUGACCCCGUAACUUAGGGAGAAGGGGUGCUCUUUAAGGAGAGCCGCAGAGAAUAGGCCCAAGCGACUGUUUAGCAAAAACACAGCUCUAUGCUAAAUCGAAAGAUGACGUAUAUGGGGUGACACCUGCCCGGUGCCGGAAGGUUAAGAGGAGGAGUGAGAGCUCUGAAUUGAAGCCCCGGUAAACGGCGGCCGUAACGAUAACGGUCCUAAGGUAGCGAAAUUCCUUGUCAGGUAAGUUCUGACCCGCACGAAUGGUGUAACGAUUUGGGCACUGUCUCAACAACCUGCCCGGCGAAAUUGUAGUACCGGUGAAGAUGCCGGUUACCCGCGACUAGACGGAAAGACCCCAUGGAGCUUUACUGCAGCUUAAUAUUGAAUUUCGGUAUUUCAUGUACAGGAUAGGUGGGAGACAGGGAACCAUAGGCGUCAGCUUAUGGGGAGUCGACCUUGGGAUACCACUCUUGAGGUGCUGGAAUUCUAACCUGUGGCUCUGAAUCGAGUCAGGGGACAUUGUUAGGCGGGCAGUUUGACUGGGGCGGUCGCCUCCAAAAAGGUAACGGAGGCGCUCAAAGGUUCGCUCAGCAUGGAUGGAAACCAUGCUUUUGAGUGUAAACGCAAAAGCGAGCCUAACUGCGAGACUGACGGGUCGAGCAGUAACGAAAGUUGGAGUUAGUGAUCCGGCGGUAUGUGAGUGGAAAUGCCGUCGCUCAACGGAUAAAAGCUACCCUGGGGAUAACAGGCUGAUCUCCCCCAAGAGUCCACAUCGACGGGGAGGCUUGGCACCUCGAUGUCGGCUCAUCGCAUCCUGGGGCUGAAUUCGGUCCCAAGGGUUUGGCUGUUCGCCAAUUAAAGCGGUACGCGAGCUGGGUUCAGAACGUCGUGAGACAGUUCGGUCCCUAUCUGUCGUGGGCGUAGGAUAUUUGAAAGGAGCUGUCCCUAGUACGAGAGGACCGGGAUGGACGCACCGCUGGUGCACCAGUUGUCAUGCCAAUGGCACAGCUGGGCAGCUAUGUGCGGAACGGAUAAACGCUGAAGGCAUCUAAGCGUGAAGCCGACCUUAAGAUAAGAUAUCCCUUCGUAAGAGUAAGACCUCUCAUAGACUAUGAGUUUGAUAGGCCUAAGGUGUAAGCACAGUGAUGUGUUCAGCCUGCAGGUACUAAUCGGUCGAGGGCUUUUCCA